AGGCGACGCUGGCGGCAGGCCUAACACAUGCAAGUCGAACGCCCAGCAAUGGGAGUGGCAGACGGGAUAGUAACACGUGGGAACGCGCCCUUCGGUUCGGAAUAACUCAGGGAAACUUGAGCUAAUACCGGAUACGCCCUUACGGGGAAAGAUUUAUUGCCGAAGGAACGGCCCGCGUCGGAUUAGCUAGUUGGUGAGGUAAUGGCUCACCAAGGCGACGAUCCGUAGCUGGUCUGAGAGGAUGACCAGCAUCACUGGGACUGAGACACGGCCCAGACUCCUACGGGAGGCAGCAGUGGGGAAUAUUGGACAAUGGGCGCAAGCCUGAUCCAGCCAUGCCGCGUGGAUGAUGAAGGCCCUAGGGUUGUAAAGUCCUUUUAACGGGGAAGAUAAUGACGGUACCCGUAGAAUAAGCCCCGGCUAACUUCGUGCCAGCAGCCGCGGUAAUACGAAGGGGGCUAGCGUUGCUCGGAAUUACUGGGCGUAAAGCGCACGUAGGCGGGUCGAUAAGUCGGGGGUGAAAUCCUGGAGCUCAACUCCAGAACUGCCUUCGAAACUGUCGAUCUUGAGUUCGGGAGAGGUGAGUGGAACUGCGAGUGUAGAGGUGAAAUUCGUAGAUAUUCGCAAGAACACCAGUGGCGAAGGCGGCUCACUGGCCCGAUACUGACGC
rnacentral:rRNA from 1 species